rnacentral:rRNA from 1 species
AUUGAACGCUGGCGGCAGGCCUAACACAUGCAAGUCGAGCGGAUGAAGGGAGCUUGCUCCUGGAUUCAGCGGCGGACGGGUGAGUAAUGCCUAGGAAUCUGCCUGGUAGUGGGGGAUAACGUCCGGAAACGGGCGCUAAUACCGCAUACGUCCUGAGGGAGAAAGUGGGGGAUCUUCGGACCUCACGCUAUCAGAUGAGCCUAGGUCGGAUUAGCUAGUUGGUGGGGUAAAGGCCUACCAAGGCGACGAUCCGUAACUGGUCUGAGAGGAUGAUCAGUCACACUGGAACUGAGACACGUUCCAGACUCCUACGGGAGGCAGCAGUGGGGAAUAUUGGACCAUGGGCGAAAGCCUGAUCCAGCCAUGCCGCGUGUGUGAAGAAGGUCUUCGGAUUGUAAAGCACUUUAAGUUGGGAGGAAGGGCAGCAAGUUAAUACCUUGCUGUUUUGACGUUACCAACAGAAUAAGCACCGGCUAACUUCGUG